rnacentral:rRNA from 1 species
GCUUAACACAUGCAAGUCGAGCGAGAAUCGUUUAUUGAAGGCUUCGGCUGGAAAUAGAUGAGGAAAGCGGCGAACGGGUGAGUAACGCGUGGGCAACCUGGCCUUAAGAAAAGGAUAGCCCCCGGAAACGGGGAGUAAUACUUUAUGAGAAUGAAAGAGGGCAUCCUACUUUCAUUCAAAGCGCAAGCGCUUAAGGAUGGGCCCGCGUAUCAUUAGCUAGUUGGUGAGAUAGCAGCCCACCAAGGCAACGAUGAUUAGCCGGUCUGAGAGGGCGAACGGCCACAUUGGAACUGAGAGACGGUCCAAACUCCUACGGGAGGCAGCAGUGGGGAAUAUUGCGCAAUGGAGAAGAACUCUGACGCAGCAAUACCGCGUGAGCGAAGAAGGUCUUCGGGUCGUAAAGCUCUGUUAUCAGGGAAGAAGAAAAUGACGGUACCUGAUGAGCAAGUCCCGGCUAACUACGUGCCAGCCGCCGCCGUAA